AUUGGACAUUUAAAGAAGCAAAGCAAAUUUUUAAUCUUCCUUUGCUUGAACUUUUAUAUAAAGCUCAAACAAUACAUAGAAAAUAUUUUGAUCCUAAUAAGAUUCAGAUUAGUAUGCUUUUGAACAUAAAAACAGGCAACUGUCCAGAAAAUUGUGGUUAUUGUUCUCAAUCUUCUCACUAUAAAACUGAUCUUCAAAAAGAACCUUUAGUGGAUAUUGAUACUUUAAUUUCAGAAGCAAAAAAAGCAAAAGAACUUGGUAGUACUCGGUUUUGUAUGGGAGCUGCUUGGCGUAGUCCUUUAGAUAAGGAUUUGAAAAUUGUCUGUCAGAUGAUUGA
rnacentral:ncRNA from 1 species